rnacentral:lncRNA from 1 species
GGGAGAAAAUUUACCUCGAUCAGAGGUCAGAAACUUCCCCGGUGCGGCGGCCGGCUCCCCUUGCGUCUGGUUCUUCUUCUCUGGCGAGGCACUGGCGGCUAGGGUUUUUGUGGUCUGGUGUGGGUGGGGUUAUUUAUACCCUUUGCCUUUUAAUCUCAACCGUCCAUCAAGAUUAAAUCUGGGCCGUUCGAUCGCGAUUUAAUUGGGAUUAAAUCUGGGUCGUUCAUCGCGAUGCAAUAUGGGCCGUGCACGUGAAUCUGGGUCGUUCGUGCGCAUGGGAACGGAUCUGGGCCGAUCGCGCGCACGCGGA